CCUCGUCGUCAGCUGAUCGUGGGAGUGCAGUUGCGAUUGUUUACAAGUAGUUGUGGCCAAUUGUACUGGAACCAACAACAAUUUCCCUCGCAGCCGUCAACUCCGCCAAUGCGUCUCCUGGCAACGCGGCUGUCUACGACGUCCAGCAGCAGGUGCCCCGACCGACCGUUUUUACGACUUAUUUUGGUGAUUUCCCGAGCGAUCGAAAGGAGCGUCUCCAAAACGCGACCGGCUUGCGGAAAAUUCAACUCAACUUGUCAAGUGUGUGUGUGUGUGUGUGUGUGUGUGUGUGUGUGUGUGUGUGUGUGUUGGUGUGUGUGGAGGUGUGCCACUGCGUUUGAUAGCAGCUGCCAUUUACCCAUGCGAUUAGGUUCAGAAGUAAAAUGUUAAAUAUUUAAUCUGUGCUUCAUGUUUGUCAGUUAUCGUUAACCUGCUCAAAAAAAAAAACACAAAUUGUUGCUUAGCAAUCAGUGAAGACGCCCCCCAACACACACACGCGGGCAACAAAAAGUCAAGCCAGCCCCCAAACAAACGCAAUCAACAACAUCAUCAAUGGUAACUGCGGCGUCAAUAGUUCAAGGAAAGAUAAACCAAGACAGGCGGACAGACAGUCUUGUCAGACGGAUGGAUGGAUGAAUGGAUGGAUGGAUAGACGGUUGGAUGGAUGGACCAAGAAGUAGUCAAGCUGCUAACGAUUAUUUAAAAUGGGUGGCAACGCCAACGAGCAUACAAACAAGACCGUGAGGAGUUUGUCUAGCAUCAGGUUGCGGCUCACGGGGCGUAUGCGCAACGCUGGUUUAGCAUCGUUGGGCGGUCUCAAAAGUUGCAGAAGAAAAGUUCCAAGAAAUUUAAUUUAUAUUUUCUGCUUUUUUCGGAUUUAAUUUUCUUAAAUAUUUCACCUGUGGUUUACGUUUCAUCAAGGUGUAACUAAGACCCACACACACGCAUACGCGACGUAUACGUAAUCUGCGGCAUGCCGUAGCCGCAACGUUAACAGAGGGGCUCCACUUGAGAUGUACUUUUCAAGCUUGCAACAAUUUCCGAAGAUUCCAACCUUGGCAAUACUCCUUUUUUUUCCAUCUUUGUUGUUCUUGAUGUUCAACCUCGUAUCUAUGUCUGGCAUCUAGUAAACGCUUACCGUAAAUAUAGCCAUUUAUGGUUUACUUAAACAACCAACAGCAGAAAACACGUAAGAAAUUGCCAAUACAAAAAUAUCAGUUUCAACGUGUAAGGUUGGAGGAUUAUCCUUGGGCGAAUGCAGAAAUCUAAUUGAAAAGAAUUCAUCUCGAAUGCAAAUUUUUAAAAUGUAUUUGCAAUUUAAAAGGAUUUUAUUGCUAUGAUUGGAUUUUCAUCUUGUUAUUUUUGCCAUUUGUAAGCCGCUUUUCAUUUGUUGUUGCACUUGCACUUAUGUAAGUUAUUUUUAGAUUAUUAAAUUUAUAAUAUUGAAUUGAACAGCAAAAUGAUAUCAUGCUUUGAAUUGAAUCGCUUAUUGGCCUCUAUUGCCCCCCUAUUAAACACAAUUGUGCUCUGAUGCACGUUGAACUAAAGUACAGACAAGCAUAUAUAUGUACGUUGUAUACCCUAUAAAUUGGUGUAAAUUUUAAAAAAAUUCCCAAUAAUUUACAUCAUUAGUUGAGUUUAUUUAUUCUUAUCACAUCUUUCAUUCGUUUCAUUUCAUUCAAUUUCCUAUGAAAAUAAUAUGAAAUUAAAGCUUAAUCGAAUAUGAAAUUUUAAGAAAUAUUUUCUUAUCGAUUAUUAUUCUCAGAAAAAAAAAAAAACAAUAGUGCUGCAAUACAGAACUUGUGAAAAUUGCGCAUGGCAGAAAUUGUGAAGACUUGUAAAUUGACUGUUGUUUAAGUGCUUAUUGUAGAAAUAAGUCUUUAUAUUAUAUUUUACAUAUUUACUAACUUAUUGAGUUUCUAUAUUUACUUGUAAAUACUUCUUGUUAUCUAAAAAGGUGCUGUAAUUAGUUAAGUAUUUUGUAACUAAAAUGGUGCCGUAAUUAGUAAAGUAUUUUGUAUAGAACCUUGUAAGAAAUAUUUUUACAAAUUUAAAAUUCUAUAGGUAAACAGUUACAAUAUUUAAGAUAAGAAAAUCUAUCAAUUAUAAUAAUGUAAAAUGUUUUGUAACUAAAAUGGUGCUGUAAUUAGUAAAGUAUUUUGUAUAGCACAGUGUAAGAAAUAUUUUUACAAAUUUCAAAUUAUGUAAGUAAAAAGUUACAAUAUGUAAGAUAAGAAAAUGUAUCAACUAUAAUUAGCAUUAAGAGACAAGGUGUUUAAAACAUUUGUCAAUUUCAAUGAGAUAACAUUAAAAGUAAUUACCAAUA